rnacentral:rRNA from 1 species
GACGAACGCUGGCGGCGUGCCUAAUACAUGCAAGUAGAACGCUGAAGGAGGAGCUUGCUCUUCUGGAUGAGUUGCGAACGGGUGAGUAACGCGUAGGUAACCUGCCUGGUAGCGGGGGAUAACUAUUGGAAACGAUAGCUAAUACCGCAUAACAGUAGAUGUUGCAUGACAUUUACUUAAAAGGUGCACUUGCCUCACUACCAGAUGGCCCUGCGUUGUAUUAGCUAGUUGGUGGGGUAACGGCUCACCAAGGCGACGAUACAUAGCCGACCUGAGAGGGUGAUCAGCCACACUGGGACUGGGACACGGCCCAGACUUCUAAGGGAGGCAGCAGUAGGGAAUCUUCGGCAAGGGGCGGAAGGCUGACCGAACAAAGCCGCGUGAGUGAAAAAGGUUUUCGGAUCGGAAAGCUCUGUUGUAAGAGAAGAACGAGUGUGAGAGUGGAAAGUUCACGCUGUGACGGUAUCUGACCAGAAAGGAACGGCUAACUACGUG